rnacentral:rRNA from 1 species
AGCAAUCUGCCCUUCUCUUCGGAAUAACCAUUGGAAACGAUGGCUAAUGCCGAAUACGACCUCGGAACACAUGUUCUGAGGUGGAAAGCUCCGGCGGAGAAGGAUGAGCUCGCGGCCUAUCAGCUUGUUGGUGAGGUAAUGGCUCACCAAGGCAUUGACGGGUAGCCGGCCUGAGAGGGUGACCGGCCACACUGGGACUGAGACACGGCCCAG